rnacentral:rRNA from 1 species
UACGUAGGGCGCAAGCGUUGUCCGGAAUUAUUGGGCGUAAAGAGCUCGUAGGCGGCCUGUUACGUCUGCUGUGAAAUCCCGGGGCUUAACCCCGGGCGUGCAGUGGAUACGGGCAGGCUGGAGGCAGGCAGGGGAGAACGGAAUUCCCGGUGUAGCGGUGAAGUGCGCAGAUAUCGGGAGGAACACCGGUGGCGAAGGCGGUUCUCUGGGCCUGUACUGACGCUGAGGAGCGAAAGCGUGGGGAGCGAACAGG